rnacentral:rRNA from 1 species
GACGAACGCUGGCGGCGUGCUUAACACAUGCAAGUCGAACGGAAAGGCCCUGCUUUUGUGGGGUGCUCGAGUGGCGAACGGGUGAGUAACACGUGAGUAACCUGCCCUUGACUUUGGGAUAACUUCAGGAGACUGGGGCUAAUACCGGAUAGGAGCUCCUGCUGCAUGGUGGGGGUUGGAAAGUUUCGGCGGUUGGGGAUGGACUCGCGGCUUAUCAGCUUGAUGGUGGGGUAGUGGCUUACCAAGGCUUUGACGGGUAGCCGGCCUGAGAGGGUGACCGGCCACAUUGGGACUGAGAUACGGCCCAGACUCCUACGGGAGGCAGCAGGGGGGAAUAUUGCACAAUGGGCGGAAGCCUGAUGCAGCAACGCCGCGUGCGGGAUGACGGCCUUCGGGUUGUAAACCGCUUUCGCCUGUGACGAAGCGUGAGUGACGGUAAUGGGUAAAGAAGCACCGGCUAACUACGUG